rnacentral:rRNA from 1 species
CCUACGGGCGGCAGCAGUGGGGAAUAUUGGGCAAUGGGCGCAAGCCUGACCCAGCAACGCCGCGUGAAGGAAGAAGGCUUUCGGGUUGUAAACUUCUUUUCUCAGGGACGAAGCAAGUGACGGUACCUGAGGAAUAAGCCACGGCUAACUACGUGCCAGCAGCCGCGGUAAUACGUAGGUGGCAAGCGUUAUCAGGAUUUACUGGGUGUAAAGGUCGUGUAGGCGGGGACGCAAGUCAGAUGUGAAAACCACGGGCUCAACCUGUGGUCUGCAUUUGAAACUGUGUUUCUUGAGUACUGGAGAGGAAGACGGAAUUCCUAGUGUAGCAGUGAAAUGCGUAGAUAUUAGGAGGAACACCAGUGGCGAAGGCGGUUUGCUGGACAGCAACUGACGCUGAGGAGCGAAAGCGUGGGGAGCAAACAGGAUUAGAUACCCUGGUAGUC